rnacentral:rRNA from 1 species
GUGACCUCAAAUCAGGUAGGACUACCCGCUGAACUUAAGCAUAUCAAUAAGCGGAGGAAAAGAAACUAACAAGGAUUCCCCUAGUAACUGCGAGUGAAGCGGGAAAAGCUCAAAUUUAAAAUCUGACAGUCUUUGGCUGUCCGAGUUGUAAUCUAGAGAAGUGUUAUCCGCGCUGGACCGUGUACAAGUCUCCUGGAAUGGAGCGUCAUAGAGGGUGAGAAUCCCGUCUUUGACACGGACUACCAGGGCUUUGUGAUGCGCUCUCAAAGAGUCGAGUUGUUUGGGAAUGCAGCUCAAAAUGGGUGGUAAAUUCCAUCUAAAGCUAAAUAUUGGCGAGAGACCGAUAGCGAACAAGUACCGUGAGGGAAAGAUGAAAAGAACUUUGGAAAGAGAGUUAAACAGUACGUGAAAUUGCUGAAAGGGAAACGCUUGAAGUCAGUCGCGUUGUCCAGGGAUCAACCUUGCUUUUGCUUGGUGCACUUUCUGGUUGACGGGUCAGCAUCAAUUUUGACCAUUGGAAAAAGAUUAAGGGAAUGUGGCAUCUUUGGAUGUGUUAUAGCCCUUGGUUGCAUACGAUGGUUGGGAUUGAGGAACUCAGCAC